rnacentral:sRNA from 1 species
UAAGGUUCGAUUCGAGCGCAGCGAGAAAGCGUUGCCUGCGGCAACGACCCGAAGGGCGAAGCGCGCAGCGCUGAGUCAUCCUUCCCCCACCACCA